GAUGAAGAACGUAGCGAAAUGCGAUACUUGGUGUGAAUUGCAGAAUCCCGUGAACCAUCGAGUCUUUGAACGCAAGUUGCGCCCGAAGCCAUUAGGCCGAGGGCACGCCUGCCUGGGCGUCACACGUCGUUGCCCCCCCAUCUACUCCUUCGGGAUUGCGGGGGGCGGAUGAUGGCCUCCCGUGCGCCUCGUCGCGCGGUUGGCCUAAAUGCCAAGUCCUCGGCGACGCACGCCACGACAAUCGGUGGUUGCGAAACCUCGGUUGCCAGUCGUGUGCGGUCGUCGCGCAUCGAGGGCUCGAAAAAAUUGCCGGGCUUCGGCUCGACUUUCAACGCGACCCCAGGUCAGGCGGGGUUACCCGCUGAAUUUAAGCAUAUCAAUAAGCGGAGGA
rnacentral:misc_RNA from 1 species